rnacentral:misc_RNA from 1 species
GUGAAUCAUCGAAUUUUUGAACGCAAAUUGCACUCCCUGGUAUUCCGUGGAGUAUGCCUGUUUGAGGGUCGUGAGAAUAAAAAAUCGAGGCGUCGCGCUUUUUUUAAGGGUGAUCGCUUCGUAUUGGAGCCGUCUUUCAAAUGUUAAUUCAUGUCAAAGGUGCUUGAAAUGGAUCCAUCCGUUACGAUUAAUGCGUAUUUAAGAUCAAUCUUGAUUAAGAACGCGCGAUGACUUACCAUCUCAUGUAGUACGUUUGACCUGGGUCAUCAG